rnacentral:lncRNA from 1 species
GCACUUUUAUCGGGGUGCAACAAUCUUAUGGUUGUGAUUCCUUACAUACUGCAUAUAUAAACAAAGAAGGUUGGCAUAUGAACCAACGUUCAUUGUAGCCUCCUCUCUUAUACAACACCUGUGUCACACCCGGAUUUCGGGGGCACUAAGAUCCGGGCGUGAACAUAAUCACCAAGUGUGUUGGGACCAAGUCUCACACAUAUGAUAAAUCAUGGUACAGAAACGAAUGUCACAUCAUUUAUAUAUAAUAGAGUCCUGUACAAAAUAGUUAAAUAAUUAUAUCAUAUAAAGACAGCGAUCCGGCAACCCAAAGUUGACUGGGAGACGGCGGCCUAGACCUCUCACGAACUCAUCAUAGCAUCCUCCAUACGCAUCAUCCUGUGGUACCUGUUCUUGACCUGUGGGAGUGUGAGACAGCAAGGGUGAGCUCACAUACGUUCAUCGCUCAACAAGUUGUGGGGAAUAAUGUGCAUGAACUCGCCAAAGGUGGGAGCUCAUGUGAAGUGUAAGGCUUACCAAAGAGGAUGGCUAAAGCUGAGUAUUGCUUUUAAAGUUGGUCAAAAAUUUAUUAGCAGUUACUAAGUGUAAGUAGAUACCAACCCAAAUAAGUAAUAGAUCAAAAUUGGUAACAACACCCGCGAUGCAAUGCAUAUGACAAAUUAAGUUUGGUUCCAUAAAUUAAUCAUGUGAGGGUCCGAGCCGCUCAUGACCGUGAGCACGGCUAAUAUACCAGUUUUACACUCUUCAGAGGUUGCACAUCUUUACCCACAAGUCAUGUUACACAUCUGUCAAGGGGUCAUGAAUCCCAUACACCUCUACCAAGGAAGCGAGGAAGGGUAACACUACGAGGCCUUUACAAAGUUCCACUAGCUUCAGAAAACCUGCUACAGUUUCUAGGAAGUCCUAAUACAGGGAUCCCUCGUCUGACCGCCAUCGCAGCAAAAUCAACCCGAGGAUCUCCCUACACUAACCACUCCCCUACUGCCCUUGCCCCUUUCGGGUAAGGUAGUCCUCCACUAACUUUCCUAAUUAGUCAGCCAAGGGCGUCCCAUACCACCCUUGUGGUAGCACUAUUUUCCCGGGUGGUUCCCCAUGUUCCAAUUAACAAUAUAAUCUUAUCAUGAAAAAUAAUUAAACAACAACAUAAUUGGAACAUGAUCAUAAUGAAACAUUAGUUUCCAAAACCAGAUAGAUAAAUAGCAAAACUACCCAAUAAUUCAUCUGUUUGCAAGGUAGGGGAUAAACAAUGCUAGGGAAACCUAUUAGGUCCCAUCAAAUUAACUUGAACAUGUCACAGUGAUUAAUAGUGAACAUUAUUAGGUAAAAAGGAGUGGUCAAGGGCAUAACUUGCCUGAGACUCAAGAUUCCAGGUACCAGGAUGAUCUUCAGAUUCUCGUGAUCUCACCGCUAUUCGCAACCAUACAAACAAACAUGGUACAGGAAAAAAUAACAUUACACCAAACAUAAGCACAAGAUGCAUAAUCAUAAUCUACGCAUUGCUACGAGAUCGUGGGUUUGAGAACUACUAAAUUCGGAGUUACCGUCAAAGAGUUAUGAUUUUAUGAAGUUUCUAGUGAUAGAUAUACAACCAAUUGAGUGCAUCAUUUUAGCCAUAGGUUUCAUGAUAAAAUAAGGUUACUAGAUGAAGAACAAGAUUAGUACAAGAUUAAUGCAACUGGAACGGAUCAAUUCGAAGUUACAAUGAAUUAAACAAGUUUCUGACAUUAUUUUUAUACAAAAAAUCAUUUUCUAAAUUAAUUCUUACCAAUUAACCGAGACCAAGGUAUUUGGCCUCAAUUUUAAAUAAGUUCUGGGUCACUUUUGUAAAUGCUAGGACCCCACAGUAAUGAUUUUACCCAUAACCUGGACGGCGGGUUGUUUUCCAUGUUCUUCAGGGUCUCUUUCACAAAACACGCUAGCCGAAGGGGUAUGGCAAACUGUGUGCCGUCAGAUCGAGAAUCAGGGGCUCGGAUUAGAAGACCACACAUCUGAACCGGUACGGACUUAGGACCGUUCGAUCCCGAUCUGACGCCCUUGCUUAGAUCACCCGAAUCAUUACCCCGCGCCAAAUCUCAUUCGUCCAUCCGAAAACCGAUGGCCGAGGUAUCCCCAUCCAUGGAUCUAAUCUUGGCCACUACAUUAAAGAUCGACGGUGCUGGUGCUUCUUCUCCCCCCAACAAGUCUGCGGCAACCGCGACAUUAGCCACGACGGCGGCAACAUCGGUGAACCCUAGUUCUUCGCCUAGGGACACUAUCCCCGAGCCCGCUAGCGUUGAUGUGAUGCAGACAUGAUGAUGAAAACGAGGAUGGAUGACUUACCGGUAGUGGCGCCGAAGACCCCCCCCCGGCCACGGAACCAGACAAUCCGCGGCGAAACCCAGUCGACAACGAGCAAUUCACCCUCACCCGAUGAAGGUCUCGGAUCAAUACGACGAUGCACACCAUGCGCGAGCACACACGAAGCUCCCACACCACCUGUCGGGACCAGAAUGACGGCGUAGAACCAAAUUGCCAGCGACGGCAGAUAGCCCUCCACCAAUGUCGACAAUGGCGCCCACCACCCAGGUGCAUUCAAGUGCGUCAGGGGCGUGGGGCAUCGGCAUUUAUAUGCCCAGCCAGAGGACCAGAUGGCCCCGGGCAAUAGCUUGGCGAGAUCCGCGCGAGCAACGGAGUUCCCGGUUCCGAGUCCGACGCCGCGCGCUGUGGGAGAUAACCUGGCCAGUAGGUCCUAUGCGCCAGCGACUGAGACGGAGUGGUCUGUGCGCCUG